rnacentral:rRNA from 1 species
AACGAACGCUGGCGGCGUGCCUAAUACAUGCAAGUAGAACGCUGAAGAGAGGAGCUUGCUCUUCUUGGAUGAGUUGCGAACGGGUGAGUAACGCGUAGGUAACCUGCCUGGUAGCGGGGGAUAACUAUUGGAAACGAUAGCUAAUACCGCAUAAAAUUGAUUAUUGCAUGAUAAUUAAUUGAAAGAUGCAAUUGCAUCACUACCAGAUGGACCUGCGUUGUAUUAGCUAGUUGGUGAGGUAACGGCUCACCAAGGCGACGAUACAUAGCCGACCUGAGAGGGUGAUCGGCCACACUGGGACUGAGACACGGCCCAGACUCCUACGGGAGGCAGCAGUAGGGAAUCUUCGGCAAUGGGGGGAACCCUGACCGAGCAACGCCGCGUGAGUGAAGAAGGUUUUCGGAUCGUAAAGCUCUGUUGUAAGAGAAGAACGGGUGUGAGAGUGGAAAGUUCACACUGUGACGGUAUCUUACCAGAAAGGGACGGCUAACUACGUGCCAGCAGCCGCAGUAAAAC